rnacentral:rRNA from 1 species
UGGGAACCUUCCCUAUGGUGCGGAAUAGCUCAGGGAAACUUGUGCUAAUACCGGACAAGCCCUUACGGGGAAAGAUUUAUCGCCAAAAGAUCGGCCCGCGUCUGAUUAGCUAGUUGGUGGGGUAAUGGCCCACCAAGGCGACGAUCAGUAGCUGGUCUGAGAGGAUGAUCAGCCACAUUGGGACUGAGACACGGCCCAAACUCCUACGAGAGGCAG